UUUAGCACCAACGGUCACCAUUCAAACCCAUUAAUUGGACGGCUAAGAUGGAGAUCGCACAUAGUGCGCAUAUAGACGUUCUCACUAGAAGCGUCAUGUAAAUAAAUAAUAUACAGGAAGAUUAGCUUAGCUUAGUUGAUUUCAGAAAUUAUUAAAUAUUUUAAAAAUUCAGGGUUUGGUUAAAUAGAUAAAUUCAGCUACCAAUAAUUUAAUUUAAUUACAUGUUCAAUUGGUCAUAGAUGAUGAUUCAACAGAAUUAAGUAAAUAAAUAUAUAUAGGAAUAGGAAUAUAGGAUGGAUGGAUGAAAUAUUUUAUCUAUAAACGUAAAAAUGAACCAACAUAGCAGGUAGAUCACUCAGCAAGACAUAGCAGGUAGAUCAGGAUUGACAGUUUUGGAUCCUUCUGGCGUGGUCUUCCUGCACCCAAAAACCAAGAAUCCCACUGCGUGACCGGCGACGACCACGAUGAACAC
rnacentral:lncRNA from 1 species